AGUACUAGUAUAUACCCCUAGCUUCAGUUUCUUGCGCGCAUAGGAUGUCACAAGACGAAGAUAACAUCUACAAACACGGCCGGAGAAAACCAGUAAUGCAGAUCAUGCAUACUUAUUACCUCUCCGACUCGAUCACAAGAAGAGACGAGGGAACGUAUGGAUUCACUGAUGUUCGUGUGACUUUUGGCGCCGCCGUUUGGAAGCGUGCAUGGCCCCGCAUCCUUGGCCUCCUGCCAUGGAUGAUCUCUAGUUGUGGUGCUGAGGGUCCGGGCCGCCCGGCACCUCCCGCUUGCGGGCGGCGUCGCCUUGCUGCACAUUCCACCUCCCCCGACGAAUGCCGCCCCGCCUGCCACCGCCGGCCGCGGCCCUGGCGAAUGCCGUCCCGUCGCCUGCCCCCACAGGGGCAGGAUAGUAGCCUGCAGGCACGACGCGAGCUCCGGCCGGCGUCGCCGCGAGUGCCGUGCCGACGAUCAGCACGGAUAGGAAGAGCACAAUGCCGAAGCGAGCAGCCAUGGAGAUGAUGAAGAAACGAGAACGUUUGCGAUGAGCGCGACUGACGACGAUGCACCGUGCAGCCACGGACGACGACGUAGCUGUUAUGUCUUCGCAGGACGUGUACCGAGAUGACUCGAGAGAGAGAGAGAGAGAGAGAGAGAGAGAGAGAGAGGGAGAGAGAGAGAGAGAGAGAGAGAGAGAGGAGAGAGAGAGAGAGAGAGAGAGAGAGAGAGAGAGAGAGAGAGAGAGAGAGAGAGAGAGAGAGAGAGAGAGAGAGUGUGUGUGUGUUUGUGUGUGUGUGUGUGUGUGUCUUAUCGUGCCCU
rnacentral:lncRNA from 1 species